rnacentral:lncRNA from 1 species
CGUGGCGGUGGCGUGUCCCUGUGUCCCAUGAUGGUGGCAUGUCCAUGCCAGUGACACAUCCGUGUCUGUGACGGUGGCGUGUUGGCAUCCGUGUCCCAUGACGGUGACGUGGCCUUCGAGCGGGGCGGCGUGUGCGUGCACACGCGUGUGCGGCGGCCCUGGGCCCCCGAGGCGCCGCUGGCCGGCGUGCUGCGCCUCCUGGAGCGGCCCGGGGCAGUGACGCUGCAGUGGGAACCCCUGGAGCGGCC